rfam:Camelus ferus unplaced genomic scaffold scaffold216, whole genome shotgun sequence.
GGAGGGUACAGCUCAAGUGGUAGAGUGCGUGCCUGGCAUGCAUGAGGCCCUGGGUUCCGUCCCCAGCACCUCCU